UACGUAGGGUCCGAGCGUUGUCCGGAAUUAUUGGGCGUAAAGGGCUCGUAGGCGGUUUGUCACGUCGGGAGUGAAAACUCAGGGCUCAACCCCUGAGCGUGCUUCCGAUACGGGCAGACUAGAGGUAUGCAGGGGAGAACGGAAUUCCUGGUGUAGCGGUGGAAUGCGCAGAUAUCAGGAGGAACACCGGUGGCGAAGGCGGUUCUCUGGGCAUUACCUGACGCUGAGGAGCGGAAAGCAUGGGGGAGCGAACCGG
rnacentral:rRNA from 1 species